CGGGGAGUGGCGCAGUCUGGUAGCGCAUCUGCUUUGGGAGCAGAGGGUCGCUGGUUCGAAUCCAGUCUCCCGACCA
rnacentral:tRNA from 1 species